AAGGAGUCUAACAACUAUGCGAGUAUUUGAGUGGCAAACUCGAGUGCGUAAAGAAACUGAACGCGUGGGAUUUGUUCUCUUACGGGAGGGCAAUGCACCAUGGGCCAGUCCUUGUCUUUGACUUGGAUUGCGCUAGAGCAUAUCUGUUGGGACCCGAAAGAUGGUGAACUAUGCCUGAAUAGGGUGAAGCCAGGGGAAACUCUGGUGGAGGCUCGUAGACAUUCUGACGUGCAAAUCGAUGUUCAAAUUUGGGUAUAGGGGCGAAAGACUAAUCGAACCAUCUAGUAGCUGGUUCCCUC
rnacentral:misc_RNA from 1 species